rnacentral:rRNA from 1 species
UACAGAGGCCCCAAGCGUUACUGAGAAUCACUGGGUUUAAAGGGUGCGUAGGUGGCGCGUUAAGUCCGUUGUGAAAUCCCUGGGCUCAACCCAGGAAAUGCUUCGGAUACGGGCAGGCUGGAGGCAGGCAGGGGAGAACGGAAUUCCCGGUGUAGCGGUGAAAUGCGCAGAUAUCGGGAGGAACACCGGUGGCGAAGGCGGUUCUCUGGGCCUGUAACUGACGCUGAGACGCGAAAGCGUGGGGAGCGAACCGG